AAGUCUUCAGUUAUUUAUGUGUGCUUGAUUUAAUUAUUCACAUUUCGAGCCUUAGUUUAAAUUAUUCUAUGAGCACAUGCUACCACUUGUCAUCUACCAUCAUGUCUUCCCAUGAUCACCAUGCUUCCUCCCUCACCUUACAUACGCCAUCUACUCCUUGUCAAAAUAAGCUGCCACCAACUCCCCUAAUUUCAGCGGUCAAACAUCUCUGCAUAAUUGAAGGAAACCCAUCCCUUGCACUUUCACUAGCAACUUAAAUAUCACACCUCUACACGUUAAUAUCUCCACAUCAGUCUGCUACCUCUCAAUUAUAUCACACCUCUUGUACUCUGUUUCAAACAAACACAUCUAAGAAGAUAUUUCGACCCACUGGACUUCAAGAAAUUCCAUCUCCUUGACUCACAGAAACUACCAAGCUCAACCACCACCUUAAGGCUUUAUGAACCAAGGGGAUUAGCGCUGCUUUCCCAAGACGAGUUUAUGUGAUUAUGAUCUUCAGGCUUUGCCUAUCCAGGUUGGCUGGCUGGUGCUGACGGGACGGAGCUGAGGCUAGAGUUAAAUUCCUAUGUUAGACUUCCGCUGUAGCAAUUACUCAUAUCAGUCUUUUGUUUUCCCAACUUAAGAUCUUUAUGUUAAAUUUCAAAUGAUAUACCUGACCGAGCUUAGACUCUUUACUAUUAAAUUUAUGCCAAUGAAUGUUGGUUGUCAGAAGCAUGAAACAAAACUUGUGAUCCAAAGGGGCAUAGCCCGACUUUCUAUCCUAUUUCGGGUUUUAACAAGGUAUUUCCCUUGUUUAUUUCUAUGAAUUAUUCACACCUCGAUUAUAUUUAUUCCUUCAAGAACUGGGGUGUGACAUUAUUCUUGAGAGGGCUGCUGCUCAUCAAUGGUAUAACCUCUGGAUUGAAUCUGAUUCAACAUACGUUGUGAAUGUCUUCAAUAAUCGUGAGAUUCCGGUCCCGUGGCGUUUUCGGAGCAGAUGGCGGGCGGCGCUUAAAGGUGUGGAGCACUACAACCUCCGUUGCUCUCAUAACUACCGGGAAGGUAACCACGUUGCCGAUUACCUCGCUUCCUCUCACUCGCAGGAAGGAUUUUGGCUUCACUCUAUUCCUGAGAUUGCUCAGCUGGUUUUCGAUGAUGUACAUUCUUCCUUUGUUCGCAUGGUGCGAUAGCUUGUCCUGGGUUGUUUGUUCGGUGCUUGGUGGGAACCGGGGAGAUUUGGGGGUGAUGGUACGGCCGGAACUUCCGAAGUCUCCUCAACUCAGUUUCCGCCGCACCUUGUUUCUUUCAUGUUUUCUUUGUAUCUAGACGGGUACUCUUUAUCCUCGUUUUGAGGUUUUAAUGAGGCCCGGCCCUGGUCUUCUCUUUGGGUUUUUUUAGGUUCCGAUUUCUUUAAUAAAAUUUCAAUUCAGCAGUA